AGCGAACGCUGGCGGCAGGCUUAACACAUGCAAGUCGAGCGGGCAUAGCAAUAUGUCAGCGGCAGACGGGUGAGUAACGCGUGGGAACGUACCUUUUGGUUCGGAACAACUGAGGGAAACUUCAGCUAAUACCGGAUAAGCCCUUACGGGGAAAGAUUUAUCGCCGAAAGAUCGGCCCGCGUCUGAUUAGCUAGUUGGUGAGGUAAUGGCUCACCAAGGAGACGAUCAGUAGCUGGUCUGAGAGGAUGAUCAGCCACAUUGGGACUGAGACACGGCCCAAACUCCUACGGGAGGCAGCAGUGGGGAAUAUUGGACAAUGGGCGCAAGCCUGAUCCAGCCAUGCCGCGUGAGUGAUGAAGGCCCUAGGGUUGUAAAGCUCUUUUGUGCGGGAAGAUAAUGACGGUACCGCAAGAAUAAGCCCCGGCUAACUUCGU
rnacentral:rRNA from 1 species